rnacentral:rRNA from 1 species
AGGGAUCAUUACCGAGUUUACAACUCCCAAACCCAAUGUGAACGUUACCAAACUGUUGCCUCGGCGGGGUCACGCCCCGGGUGCGUCGCAGCCCCGGAACCAGGCGCCCGCCGGAGGAACCAACCAAACUCUUUCUGUAGUCCCCUCGCGGACGUAUUUCUUACAGCUCUGAGCAAAAAUUCAAAAUGAAUCAAAACUUUCAACAACGGAUCUCUUGGUUCUGGCAUCGAUGAAGAACGCAGCGAAAUGCGAUAAGUAAUGUGAAUUGCAGAAUUCAGUGAAUCAUCGAAUCUUUGAACGCACAUUGCGCCCGCCAGUAUUCUGGCGGGCAUGCCUGUCCGAGCGUCAUUUCAACCCUCGAACCCCUCCGGGGGAUCGGCGUUGGGGAUCGGGACCCCUCACACGGGUGCCGGCCCCGAAAUACAGUGGCGGUCUCGCCGCAGCCUCUCCUGCGCAGUAGUUUGCACAACUCGCACCGGGAGCGCGGCGCGUCCACGUCCGUAAAACACCCAACUUUCUGAAAUGUUGACCUCGGAUCAGGUAGGAAUACCCGCUGAACUUAA